rnacentral:rRNA from 1 species
AGAGUUUGAUCCUGGCUCAGAACGAACGCUGGCGGCGCGCCUAAUACAUGCAAGUCGAGCGAGAAGACGUAGCAAUACGUUUGUAAAGCGGCGAACGGGUGAGGAAUACAUGGGUAACCUACCCUCGAGUGGGGAAUAACUAACCGAAAGGUUAGCUAAUACCGCAUACGACUCCUGGUCUGCGGAUCGGGAGGGAAAGCGAUACCGUGGGUAUCGCGCUCUUGGAUGGGCUCAUGUCCUAUCAGCUUGUUGGUGAGGUAACGGCUCACCAAGGCUUCGACGGGUAGCUGGUCUGAGAGGACGAUCAGCCACACUGGCACUGCGACACGGGCCAGACUCCUACGGGAGGCAGCAGUAAGGAAUAUUGCGCAAUGGGCGACAGCCUGACGCAGCGACGCCGCGUGGGGGAUGAAGGUCUUCGGAUUGUAAACCCCUUUCGGCAGGGAAGAUGGAACGGGUAACCGUUCGGACGGUACCUGCAGAAGCAGCCACGGCUAACUUCGUGCCAGCAGCCGCGGUAAUACGAAGGUGGCAAGCGUUGUUCGGAUUUACUGGGCGUACAGGGAGCGUAGGCGGUUGGGUAAGCCCUCCGUGAAAUCUCCGGGCCUAACCCGGAAAGUGCGGAGGGGACUGCUCGGCUAGAGGAUGGGAGAGGAGCGCGGAAUUCCCGGUGUAGCGGUGAAAUGCGUAGAGAUCGGGAGGAAGGCCGGUGGCGAAGGCGGCGCUCUGGAACGUUUCUGACGCUGAGGCUCGAAAGCGUGGGGAGCAAACAGGAUUAGAUACCCUGGUAGUCCACGCCU